rnacentral:pre_miRNA from 9 species
GCUCGAUCGCGUUAAAGUUAACUCAAAUUUGUAUGGAGUUGGAACAGCUUCUGUUCGUUUGCCGCUAGGGGCGCUGUUCCAACUUCAUACAAAUUUAAGUUAACUUUUACGGGAUCGA